rnacentral:ncRNA from 2 species
GCAAUUCACAGCGCCGAUUUGAGCACCGGCUUGCGGGCGCUUUAUAAAUGCAGCUAAAGAGCGUGGCAAUCCGCCC